AAACUUUCAACAACGGAUCUCUUAGGUUCUG
rnacentral:rRNA from 1 species